rnacentral:rRNA from 1 species
AGUCUGAUGGAGCAAUACCACGUGAAUGAUGAAGAUCUUCUGAUUGUAAAAUUCUUUUAUUUGGGAAAAAAAGCUUGAUAGGAAAUGAUUAAGCCUUGAUUGUACUGAAUGAAUAAGUGACAGCUAACUAUGUGCCAGCAGCUGCGGUAAAACAUAGGUCACGAGCAUUAUCCGGAUUUAUUGGGCGUAAAGGAAGCGUAGGCGGACAAGUUGAUCUAUUGUUAAAUACACUUGCUUAACAAGUUGUUUGUGAUGGAUAUCGCUUGUCUAGAAUUAGUUAGGAGAUACUGGAAUUCAAUGUGUAGCGGUGGAAUGCGUAGAUAUAUUGAGGAACACCAGAAGCUAAGGCGAGUAUCUAGGACAUAAUUGACGCUGAGGCUUGAAAGCGUGGGGAGCAAAUGGGAUUAGAUACCCCAGUAGUCCACGCCGUAAACGAUGAGUAUUAGGUAUUUGGUAUAAGAUUGAGUGCUGUAGCUAACGCGUUAAAUACUCCGCCUGGGUAGUAUAUAUGCAAAUAUGAAACUCAAAGAAAUUGACGGGGACCUGAACAAGUGGUGGAGCAUGUUGCUUAAUUCGAUAAUACACGCAAAACCUUACCGAGGCUUGUAAUCUUUUGCAAAACUAUAGAAAUAUAGUGGAGGCUAUCAGAAUGACAGGUGGUGCAUGGCUGUCGUCAGCUCGUGUCUUGAGAUGUUUGGUUAAGUCCCGUAACGAGCGCAACCCUACUCUUUAGUUAAACAGUUCUAAAGUGACUGAAUCGUAAGAUAUAGGAAGGUUGGGGCCAAGUCAAGUCAUCAUGCCCCUUAUGCCUCGGGCUGCAAACGUGCUACAAUGGUAGGUACAAUGUGUUGCAAUCUAGCGAUAGUGAGCAAAUCACCUAAAACCUAUCUCAGUCCGGAUAAAAGGCUGCAAUUCGCCUAUUUGAAGUUGGAAUCACUAGUAAUCCUGUGUCAGCUAUAUCAGGGUGAAUACGUUCCCAGGUCUUGUACACACCGCCCGUCAAACUAUGAAAGAAACAUACUAGUUGAAACCGUCAUUG